GAAAGUGGGAGGAGAGGAGCCCUUUAAGAAAUCUCCAAGCCAGCUCCCAAAGGGUCUCACCAGCUCAGAGUGUAGCUCACACUGAUGGGGCUCCUGCCGUGCCAAACGCCACUGAGGUGCUUUCCUUCCGUUCUCCCCUGAAACCCUCCCAGUGGCCGUGGGAGGCAGGUGCGGUCACAGCAUUGCCCAACCCGAGAUGCUGUUUGUUGUAAAGGGCAUUCCGAUCUCAGACGGGUCGAAAUGCGAACCCGUGUGUCUUGCAGAAUUGACAAAACCAAAACCUACUCUCAUCUCACAAAGAUGAUCCUGCUCAGAGAGGACCAGUGAUGACCCCCAACAGCGGUCCUCCAAACCGCUUAGUAUAUACAGCUCCCUCUCCUCUCCAUGGUGCUUUCAGCCUCCAGCCUCUGUGCAGGCUGUUCCUUCUGCCUGGAGUGCCCUUCCUGGUCAUCCACUCCACUUCCGCCUGAUAUGCUCCAAUCCACCCCUGGGGGCAGCCAGAUGAGAGCCUGCCAGAAGAAAGGACUCACCACAGGGACUACAGCUGAAAACCUGAAACGUCCUUUGGCAGGAAAGCACAAAUAUCUGACUUUGACAUUCUAGAGGAGGGCAGAACCACAUAUAGAAGAAGCCUGGAUCCCUGAAUGACUGCAUGGAUUCAACACAGCACCUAUACACACACCUGCCCUCUGUGCCCCGAUAAUCUACACUAGAGGACGAUGUGAGCAAUACAUAAAAUGUUAUUAUGUUAAGGGAUGUAGGGGUUGUUUGUUACAGCAAUCUCACUGAUGAAUCCCAUGAGAUCUACUACAUGCCAGAAAUCAUCACAGGCAUUUUAUUUACCUUAUUCCACUUGAGCUUCUCAGCAAUCCUAAGAUAUAGGCAUUAUAUUUGGUCUAUUUUAU
rnacentral:lncRNA from 10 species